rnacentral:rRNA from 1 species
GACGAACGCUGGCGGCGUGCUUAACACAUGCAAGUCGAACGGAAAGGCCCUGCUUUUGUGGGGUGCUCGAGUGGCGAACGGGUGAGUAACACGUGAGUAACCUGCCCUUGACUUUGGGAUAACUUCAGGAAACUGGGGCUAAUACCGGAUAGGAGCUCCUGCUGCAUGGUGGGGGUUGGAAAGAUUCGGCGGUUGGGGAUGGACUCGCGGCUUAUCAGCUUGUUGGUGGGGUAGUGGCUUACCAAGGCUUUGACGGGUAGCCGGCCUGAGAGGGUGACCGGCCACAUUGGGACUGAGGUACGGCCCAGACUCCUACGGGAGGCAGCAGUGGGGAAUAUUGCACAAUGGGCGGAAGCCUGAUGCAGCGACGCCGCGUGCGGGAUGACGGCCUUCGGGUUGUAAACCACUUUCGCCUGUGACGAAGCGUGAGUGACGGUAAUGGGUAAAGAAGCACCGGCUAACUACGUG